rnacentral:rRNA from 1 species
CGCAAUGGGCGAAAGCCUGAUGGAGCAACGCCGCGUGCAGGAUGAAGGCUUUCGGGUCGUAAACUGCUUUUAUGUGCGAAGAAUAUGACUGUAACACAUGAAUAAGGGUCGGCUAACUACGUGCCAGCAGCCGCGGUCAUACGUAGGACCCAAGCGUUAUCCGGAAUUACUGGGCGUAAAGAGUUGCGUAGGUGGCAAGUUAAGUGAAUAGUGAAAUUGUGUGGCUCACCCAUACACACAUUAUUUAAACCGGCUAGCUAGAGUGAGAUAGAGGUAACUGGAAUUCCAAGUGUAGGAGUGAAAUCCGUAGAUAUUUGGAGGAACACCGAAGGCGUAGGCAGGUUACUGGAUCUCUCCUGACUCUGAAGCACGAAAGCGU